rnacentral:tRNA from 1 species
GUCCCUGUAGCUCAACUGGAAGAGCGGUUCCGUCCUAAGGAAAAGGUUGUAGGUUCGAGUCCUGCCAGGGACA